CGGCCCAAGUCCCUACAUCAAGGCUCACCUGCAAGGUUAAGGAAAGGGGGUGAGUUUGGAAACUCAGUGUGCAACAAGCCCCUUUCAGAGCCCAAAACAAUAACAGCAUGUUGGGCCUAAGCCCAAAUCCAAUCUCAACAUGUAUUGGGCUGUAGCCCUUUUCAUAAUUCAUAUUUCAUAACACUGGGCUGAAGCCUUUUCAUAUUUCAUAUUACUGGGCCAAAGCCUUUACUGUAA
rnacentral:lncRNA from 1 species